UACGUAGGGCGCAAGCGUUGUCCGGAAUUAUUGGGCGUAAAGAGCUCGUAGGCGGUCUGUCGCGUCCGUUGUGAAAACUCGGGGCUCAACCUCGGGCUUGCAGCGGAUACGGGCAGACUAGAGUGCGGUAGGGGAGACUGGAAUUCCUGGUGUAGCGGUGGAAUGCGCAGAUAUCAGGAGGAACACCGAUGGCGAAGGCAGGUCUCUGGGCCGCAACUGACGCUGAGGAGCGAAAGCAUGGGGAGCGAACAGG
rnacentral:rRNA from 1 species